rnacentral:rRNA from 1 species
GACGAACGCUGGCGGCGUGCCUAAUACAUGCAAGUCGAGCGCAGGAAACUGACGGAACUCUUCGGAGGGAAGGCAGUGGAAUGAGCGGCGGACGGGUGAGUAACACGUAAGGAACCUGCCUCAAGGAUUGGGAUAACUCUGAGAAAUCGGAGCUAAUACCGGAUAGUUCAUCGGACCGCAUGGUCCGUUGAUGAAAGGCGCUCCGGCGUCACCUUGAGAUGGCCUUGCGGUGCAUUAGCUAGUUGGUGGGGUAACGGCCCACCAAGGCGACGAUGCAUAGCCGACCUGAGAGGGUGAUCGGCCACACUGGGACUGAGACACGGCCCAGACUCCUACGGGAGGCAGCAGUAGGGAAUCUUCCACAAUGGACGAAAGUCUGAUGGAGCAACGCCGCGUGAGUGAUGAAGGUUUUCGGAUCGUAAAACUCUGUUGUAAGGGAAGAACACGUACGAGAGGGAAUGCUCGUACCUUGACGGUACCUUACGAGAAAGCCACGGCUAACUACGUGCCAGCCGCCGCAGUAAGAC